GGAGUAUUAGUCCAAUAAAGACAGCUGAUUUCGACUCAACUAAUUAUGGUUUAAAUCCAUAGUACUCCU
rnacentral:tRNA from 1 species